rnacentral:rRNA from 1 species
UUGACCUCGAAUCAGCGGGACUACCCGCUGAACUUAAGCAUAUCAAUAAGCGGAGGA